CAGUCGCCGCGGGAAUACAGAGGGUGCAAGCGUUAAUCGGAAUUACUGGGCGUAAAGCGCGCGUAGGUGGUUCGCCAAGUUGGAUGUGAAAUCCCCGGGCUCAACCUGGGAACUGCAUCCAAAACUGGCGAGCUAGAGUAUGGUAGAGGGUGGUGGAAUUUCCUGUGUAGCGGUGAAAUGCGUAGAUAUAGGAAGGAACAUCAGUGGCGAAGGCGACCACCUGGACUGAUACUGACACUGAGGUGCGAAAGCGUGGGGAGCAAACAGGAUUAGAUACCCCAGUAGUCCCUGUCUCUUAUAC
rnacentral:rRNA from 1 species